rnacentral:lncRNA from 1 species
AACUUGAGUCAUCGGCUUUCUUGUGGAGGACACCUUGAAAUUCUUGGUGCUCCUUCCUGCCAACAGACCUUAGCUAGGGCCACCCUGGCUAACCAAGCACACUGUCGUAACUGUUAAUCUUGAGAUGGCCAGGAUCUCAUUAAGAUUCUUUGCUUCCCAGAAACCUCAACUAACCCCACUCCCACCCUCCAAUUCUGCAAA